CUCAGACACCCCCAGGAGCGGCAGGAGGUUAUUUUUUGCCUCGCUUCACUAAAUAAGGCCGUGGAGCACGACGGCGCGGGCCGGCGGCUGCAGGGGCGUGCGUCUCAGGUAUAAAAGCCGGGGGAUGGAGGGGGUUUCCUCCGAUCGUGCUCAACCUCUCACAUUUCUCCUCCCUGUUGUCGUUCUGACCUGCUUUUACCUACUUUUGAUGCGUGAGUUGAAAAAAAAAAAACAAACGACAACAAACCAAAAAUCAAUGAGCCAACGCUGCCUGUGAGCGGCAUCAGUUGACCUUUUAUCCCAGAAUCUUUUUUUUUUAAAAACCUCCUGCUUUUGGCGCUCACACUUUCUUUCGUGCCUUUAUUUUGGAGGAGUUGUUUUUCGCCGCCUGCUGGACGACAUGUCAGGGAAAAUGGAAUAUGGGGACAAAAGGACGACAAAGAUCGUCCUCCUCCUCUUUUCCUCUCCGCAUCCUUAAACUCUCCAUCGCUGAUUCAGCUCCCAGGGAGGAGAGACUCCGCCUGCAGCGGCGGCUCCACUCUGCAUGGGCCACCAUCCCUAUCUGGAUCACCUUUACCACGGUUCCCAAGGUUCGUCUCUCUCACGUCUUCCGCCCCGACGCCUUCGGGACCGGCUCCCCUUCAAAUGCUUUGCUAAAGCUGGUAAAAUGGAACCAAAUCAACUGUUCAAUGGAUUUGGUCCCCUUCAACCAGCUGUAGCUGUGCAUUGAUCACCCCGAAAACGCACGCGCUGGGGGGCGAACGAAUGAGCCACGGAGUGGAGAGACUCCUUCAACACUAGAGGCUGAAGCUGUUUUAGUUCUCGGACUGGACGCGAAAACUGAUCCAUGGAUAAAUGUGCACCGUGCACCAGUCAUUCUGUUUAGCUUUAUCACACUUUACCCAAAAGACUUUGAAUCAUUUGCUGAAUCUGAAUAAAACAACUCAGGUAAGUAAUUAUAGAUACUGU
rnacentral:lncRNA from 1 species